rnacentral:lncRNA from 1 species
GGGUUACCAGGUAUUAACUGUGAGGGUUAGGGUUACCAGGUAUUAACUGUGAGGGUUAGGGUUACCAGGUAUUAACUGUGAGGGUUAGGGUUACCAGGUAUUAACUGUGAGGGUAUUACCGAACCCUGAGUUCUUAAUAAAUACACCAUUGUGUUUUGAUACAUUUAUUAAAAUGUUUUUGUUUUGUGUCAAACCUGUAGUGUUCAUCAUAUUAACAUAGCAGAGGUCAGAGUUCACCCUUACAGAGCAUAGCAGAGGUCAGAGUUCACCCUUACAGAGCAUAGCAGAGGUCAGAGUUCACCCUUACAGAACACUGAAACAGACAGUCCCUGACACACACUUCAGGGCCUGCAUGGCACCCACCCACACACCCACCCACCCACCCACACACAUCCACACGGGACAGAUUCACAAGACAGGGUAAAACCAGUUCCAGCAUGAUUCAGAAGGUUUGCUUUAAAAGACAGAGUUGGAUUCCGAGCAGACAGAAUUGUGGGAAUCGGAGUUUCUCUGUUGAAAGAGUGAGGUGUAGUUCGUCCAUUUCUGAACAGAUCCAUCCUGCUUCUCUUGAUGUCGUCCCAGAAUCCCAGUGUUCUCUGGCGAUUAGUCCCUCAGUCCUGUCUGGCGAUUACCCCCCCAGUCCUGUCUGGUGAUUGUAGUCCUCCCCAGUCCUGUCUGGUGAUUGUAGUCCCCCCAGUCCUGUCUGGUGAUUGUAGUCCCCCCAGUCCUGUCUGGUGAUUGUAGUCCUCCCCAGUCCUGUCUGGUGAUUGUAGUCCUCCCCAGUCCUGUCUGGUGAUUGUAGUCCCCCCCAGUCCUGUCUGGCGAUUGUAGCCCCCCCAGUCCUGUCUGGUGAUUGUAGUCCUCCCCAGUCCUGUCUGGUGAUUGUAGUCCCCCCCAGUCCUGUCUGGUGAUUGUAGUCCCAGUCCUGUCUGGCGAUUGUAGUCCCCCAGUCCUGUCUGGCGAUUGUAGUCCCAGUCCUGUCUGGUGAUUGUAGUCCCCCCAGUCCUGUCUGGUGAUUGUAGUCCCCCCAGUCCUGUCUGGUGAUUGUAGUCCCCCCAGUCCUGUCUGGCGAUUGUAGUCCCCCCAGUCCUGUCUGGUGAUUGUAGUCCCCCAGUCCUGUCUGGUGAUUGUAGUCCCCCAGUCCUGUCUGGUGAUUGUAGUCCCCCCCAGUCCUGUCUGGUGAUUGUAGUCCCCCCCAGUCCUGUCUGGUGAUUGUAGUCCCAGUCCUGUCUGGCGAUUGUAGUAUCCCCAGUCCUGUCUGGUGAUUGUAGUCCCAGUCCUGUCUGGCGAUUGUAGUCCCCCCAGUCCUGUCUGGCGAUUGUAGUCUCCCCCAGUCCUGUCUGGUGAUUGUAGUCCCCCCCAGUCCUGUCUGGUGAUUAUAGUCCCAGUCCUGUCUGGCGAUUAGUCCCUCAGUCCUGUCUGGUGAUUGCAGUCCUCCCCAGUCCUGUCUGGUGAUUGUAGUCCCCCAGUCCUGUCUGGUGAUUGUAGUCCCCCCAUCCUGUCUGGUGAUUGUAGUCCUCCCCAGUCCUGUCUGGUGAUUGUAGUCCCCCCAGUCCUGUCUGGUGAUUGUAGUCCCAGUCCUGUCUGGUGAUUGCAGUCACCCCAGUCCUGUCUGGUGAUUGCAGUCCCCCCAGUCCUGUCUGGUGAUUGUAGUCCCCCCAGUCCUGUCUGGUGAUUGUAGUAUCCCCAGUCCUGUCUGGUGAUUGUAGUCCCAGUCCAGUCCGGUGAUUGUAGUCCCACCAGUCCUGUCUGAUGAUUGUAGUCCCAGUCCUGUCUGGUGAUUAUAGUCCCAGUCCUGUCUGGUGAUUGUAGUCCCCCCAGUCCUGUCUGGUGAUUGUAGUCCCCCCCAGUCCUGUCUGGUGAUUGUAGUCCCAGUCCUGUCUGGUGAUUGUAGUCCCCCCAGUCCUGUCUGGUGAUUGUAGUCCCAGUCCAGUCCGGUGAUUGUAGUCCCAGUCCAGUCCGGUGAUUGUAGUCCCAGUCCAGUCCGGUGAUUGUAGUCCCAGUCCAGUCCGGUGAUUGAUUUGAGGAGAGGGUUGUUGUCCGAUAGAUUCCUCUACUAAAUAGACUGUUUACAGACUGAAUAAAAUAUUGACUUGGUGUCCAUUUAUAAGUGCAACACAGAGAUUAUAUUAAAAAAUGAAACAAGAAUACAACAGAAGGGUUAAAAACAAACGAAAGCACCUAAAAGCUGUAUCCUUUUGCACAAUUUAAAUCAUGAUACAA